rfam:Actinomyces marimammalium strain DSM 15383 Scaffold2, whole genome shotgun sequence.
AGGUUUCUGUUGAGGCUCCCGAUAGACUAUCGGGUUGAUAGGCCGGACGUGGAAGCAUGGUAACAUGUGGAGCUGACCGGUACUAAUAUUGCCGACAACUAACACCAC